rnacentral:tRNA from 1 species
GGCGCGGUAGUUCAGUUGGUUAGAACGCUUAAGCCUGUCACGCCGGAGGUCGAGGGUUCAAGUCCCUUCCGCGUCGCCA